CCAACUAUAAUUGUCUUGGAUCUAACAGCUCCACAAAGAGCAGCUGUCAGAAUUUGAUUUUGAGCAUCGAGUUGGCUUUGCAGCUGAGCUGAGGCUUGGGGGGAGUUGAGAAAUCGAGUUAUCUUCAUAAUGCCAAUGUAGCUCAAACUGAACAGCUUUUAGUUUUAGGACCUGUAAAUUUGCCCAAUUUGAUAAAUUAUUGCAUACUCGACAAUAUGGUGCUUAAGUGGUGUCCUUCCAAGAAUGAAGAAGUGAAUCCCUUCUACAUUGGUCCAUAUCCUGACAAGUCAUGCGGAUCGUGUCCGUAUGGUGCCUUUUCAGGCUUUGUGCCAUGUGGCUGGCCCGAUCGCUGUAAGGGCAUGGCUGAAAGAAAUCGUUGCUGCGUUCCGAAAGAGGCCGCAUCUACUAAGAGCGUGAAAUAGGUUUUCAAUGGGCAAAUUUAUUCGAAAUUGCCCAAUAUAUACACAAUAAAGCAGAAGACAUUCAGUAGCAAUUUA